rnacentral:rRNA from 1 species
UACGGAGGGUGCGAGCGUUGUCCGGAAUCAUUGGGCGUAAAGCGCGCGUAGGUGGCUUCGUAAGUCCGUUGUGAAAGUCAAAGGCUCAACCUUUGAAAGCCGAUGGAUACUGCGGAGCUAGAGUACGGAAGAGGCGAGUGGAAUUCCUGGUGUAGCGGUGGAAUGCGCAGAUAUCAGGAGGAACACCAAUAGCGAAGGCAGCUCGCUGGGACGUUACUGACACUGAGGCGCGAAAGCGUGGGGAGCGAACAGG